CUUGAGGGCAGUCAUCCACCUCUUCACAUAUUUUCCAUCCGUCAGCUGUGAGAGGCAGAGUGUCAGGUUGUUCAGGCUCCAAUAUGGCUCAGAAAGGCACUGAGAAAACCUAGCCUUAGCUAGGCUAAGAGCCUAGCUUCUGGCCUGGCUUUUACGUGGUCAGCGGAUGUGCGUCCAUCCCCCUGCACUGGUUCCCCUUGUCCUUUCUGUGGCUCUCCUGGAUUCCUCUCGUUCAGCUCCUUGGUGUACAGAGCCUAUGUCAAUGGCAAUGGUGAGGGAAAUUGCCAGAGCCCUGCCCUCCAGGCCUGUCCUUAUUCAUGGGGAUCUGAGAAGAAGAGAUUAGGACCCAGACAUGCACAGAGGAGACCCUGUAAGGACACAAAGAGAAGACAGCCAUCUGCAAGCCAAGAAGAAAGGCCUUGGGGGAAACCAGCCCUGCCCACACCUUGGUCUGGACUUCCAGCUGAUUCUUGGAUGAGCUGGUCCUUAGGCACGGAGGCAGGACUGUGAGAAAAUAAAUUUCUGUUUUUAAUUCACC
rnacentral:lncRNA from 10 species